UACAGGGGGUGCAAACGUUGCUCGGAAUCAUUGGGCGUAAAGCGCACGUAGGCGGUUCGUUAUGUCGGAUGUGAAAGCCCUUGGCUUAACCGAGGAAGUGCAUCCGAAACUGGCGAGCUAGAGUACUAAAGAGGAUCGCGGAAUUCCCGGUGUAGAGGUGAAAUUCGUAGAUAUCGGGAGGAACUCCGGCGGCGAAAGCGGUGCACUGGUGGAUUACUGACGCUGAGGUGCGAAAGCCAGGGGAGCAAACGGG
rnacentral:rRNA from 1 species